AGAGUUUGAUCCUGGCUCAGGACGAACGCUGGCGGCGUGCUUAACACAUGCAAGUCGAACGAGGUCCAGCCAAUCUUCGGAAAGGCGAAGACCUAGUGGCGAACGGGUGCGUAACACGUGAGAAACUUGCCCCAGACUUGGGAAUAACAGUCGGAAACGACUGCUAAUACCGAAUACCUUCGUAGCGUCGCAUGGCGCAUCGAAGAAAGCUUUUGCGGUUUGGGAGGGUCUCGCGGCCUAUCAGCUAGUUGGUGAGGUAACGGCUCACCAAGGCAUCGACGGGUAGCUGGUCUGAGAGGAUGAUCAGCCACACUGGGACUGAGACACGGCCCAGACUCCUACGGGAGGCAGCAGUGGGGAAUCUUGCACAAUGGGCGAAAGCCUGAUGCAGCAACGCCGCGUGCGGGAAGAAGGCCUUAGGGUUGUAAACCGCUUUCAGCAGGGAAGAAAAUGACGGUACCUGCAGAAGAAGGUGCGGCCAACUACGUGCCAGCAGCCGCGGUGACACGUAGGCACCAAGCGUUGUCCGGAUUUAUUGGGCGUAAAGAGCUCGUAGGCGGUUCAGUAAGUCGGGUGUGAAAACUCUGGGCUCAACCCAGAGACGCCACCCGAUACUGCUGUGACUUGAGUACGGUAGGGGAGUGGGGAAUUCCUGGUGUAGCGGUGAAAUGCGCAGAUAUCAGGAGGAACACCAGUGGCGAAGGCGCCACUCUGGGCCGUAACUGACGCUGAGGAGCGAAAGCGUGGGUAGCAAACAGGAUUAGAUACCCCUGUAGUCC
rnacentral:rRNA from 1 species